CAAGGAAUUUUCGUCAAUGGGGGGAACCCUGAACGAGCAACGCCGCGUGGGCGAAGAAGUCCUUCGGGAUGUAAAGCCCUUUUCCCUGCGAAGAGCGAAAGACGGUAGCAGGGGAAUAAGCAUCGGCUAACUACGUGCCAGCAGCCGCGGUAAUACGUAGGAUGCAAGCGUUGUCCGGAAUUAUUGGGCGUAAAGAGCGCGCAGGCGGUGUGACAAGUCAGAUGUGAAAGAGGCCGGCUUAACCGGCAAGGGUCAUUUGAAACUGUCAGACUGGAGUGCAGCAGAGGAUAGUGGAAUUCCCGGUGUAGUGGUGAAAUGCGUAGAUAUCGGGAGGAACACCAGUGGCGAAGGCGACUAUCUGGGCUGCAACUGACGCUGAGGCGCGAAGGCUAGGGUAGCAAACA
rnacentral:rRNA from 1 species